UACGUAGGGUGCAAGCGUUAAUCGGAAUUACUGGGCGUAAAGCGUGCGCAGGCGGUUAUGUAAGACAGUUGUGAAAUCCCCGGGCUCAACCUGGGAAUUGCAUCUGUGACUGCAUAGCUAGAGUACGGUAGAGGGGGAUGGAAUUCCGCGUGUAGCAGUGAAAUGCGUAGAUAUGCGGAGGAACGCCGAUGGCGAAGGGCAACCC
rnacentral:rRNA from 1 species